rnacentral:tRNA from 1 species
GCCCGGGUGGCUCAGUCGGUUGAGUGUCUGACUUUGGCUCAGGUCACGAUCUCACGGUUUGUGAGUUCGAGCCCGCGUCGGGCU